GUGCUUUAGCAGCACACAUACUAAAACUGAAAUUAUACAGAGAAGAUUAGCAUGGCCCCUGCACAAGGAUGACACGCAAAUUCGUGAAGUGUUCCACAAAAAA
ensembl:snRNA U6 U6 spliceosomal RNA